rnacentral:lncRNA from 1 species
AGCUUUUCCAAGGAUAUCUUCCUUGCUGGGCUUCCAAUUCUUGGACACACAACUGUAAGGAACUGCCCAAAUCUCAUCCUUAGCGAAGAUCAAACAAGAAUUAAACAAGCAAGUGAUAAACAUCGUAUUGACUUAACAACCACAUCAGGUUAAUUCUAAAGGGCAUCUUCUACUGGCUGGUGACGUGGUCUAAUGGAGUGAGUUGAAAUUUCAUCAUACGCUCAUUGGACAAGUGGGACUCAUAUGCCCAAGCGUUGUUAAUAAAUGAUCUAGAAUUGCCGGACAACUAGGAGAAGCCAAUCUCCAGCAGGAUUUAGGAGCAGUAGGGCACACAGUGGCCAUAUCUUGAUUGACACUCUCUUCAAAGGUCUACUAAUCCUAAGAUCUAUGUGAAUUGUUUUAUGACACAA